rnacentral:rRNA from 1 species
GGAUGCGAUCAUACCAGCACUAAUGCACCGGAUCCAUCAGAACUCCGAAGUUAAGCGUGCUUGAGGGCCCGAGAGUAGUACUAGGAUGGGUGACCCCCUGGGAAGUCCUCGUGUUUGCAUCCC